UAUCCAUUUUUUUCAAAAAAAUGUUUUAUUUUAAUUAAAAUUCUUUUUUUUUCCAUUUAAUUUGCAAACGAAACCCUUAAACUCCCAAGUCCCAAGUCCCAGCCUCAUUUCCCCACUACCCACAAUUUUGGUUUAACUUCAUCUUUCCUCUCACCUCUACAUUUUCUUUCCCUCAUACGAAGUACUCAACGAUUUCACCUUAAUUGCAAUUUCUUCAAUAGUUUAUUCUUCAUUUUUUUUGUUCUCCUAUAGAUCUAUCUCUCAUAGUCAUUCUCUUCUUUCUUAAAGCAUUUAACACCACUGAAUUACUGGCCACUAUUAGGCGCCGCAAAUCACCCCUCGCAUGAGGAUGAAGUCUAUCGAGAUUUAAUCGAAGGUGAUGAGAUGAUUAGUUGGAACUCGAGGAGCUUUUUUUGUUCUUGUUUAACUUUAUUUUUAUCGGAGUGGUAAAAUAUUCAACUUCUUAUGCUUUUGGUUAUUUGAGAUCUGAACCUAGUUUUCUUGUAAUUUUUAAUCGACUUAAUUUAACUCGUUAGGUAUACUUUUUUUUUUGGUGCAUAUCUUUCUAAUCGGCUAAACUUCCUCUGUUCUUUUUCAAAUGACACAAUUAUUUAGGCACGUUUGUCAACGCACGACUUUAAACUUUAAUAUUUUCAAAUAUGCAUACGAAAAAAUUAUAAAAAGUUGAUAUUAAAAAUAUAUUUAUUGAGACGAAUCUAAUAAGACCCCACACGACUAUGUUUUUUCUUAUUGUAUAAACCACAAAAGAAAGUCAAAAGAGUUUGAGUGAAUAGUGUAAAAAAACCCAAUUGUCUCCGAUCUAUUGGACUUAUUUUGACUGAACUUAUAUUAUCAGAACUUAUCUGAACUUAACUGAACUUAUCUGAACUUAUCUGAACUUAACUGAACUUAUCUGAACUUAUCUGAACUUAUUUUAUCUAAAAAAAACUUAUUUUAUCUGAAAUAAACUUAUUUGUGUGUGAAAAUGUCUGAAAAAACUUAUUUUUGCUGAACUUAUAUUAUCUGAACUUAUCUGAACUUAUCUGGACUUAACUGAACUUAUCUGAACUUAUCUGAACUUAUCUGAACUUAUUUUGUCUGAAAUAAGUCAAAAUAAGUCGAACAGAACAGGGCCUAAAUGAGAACGGAGGAAGUGUUUGAUUAUUGCAGUUUUAAAAAAUAGAACUAGAUGAUGUUUAAUUUGAUUGGGUUAAGUAAUUGCCUCUAUCUGAACUUUCUCUUUUUGAUUUUUUUAUGUGGAGCUUAAUCAAAGUUGGAAAAGAAAAGUGAUUUUUGUUUGAUACGAUAUAGAGCUAGCUAGAACAGAGGAACCUUUGUACGAUUAAUAUAUUCUUUUCGCUGAUCUCCUAUUUAUCUAUUACAAAGUACUUUGUAUUUGAAUCAUAUGUAAUUCUAUUAUGAAAUAAAAAUUUUGAUCUAUUUAUUUUUUCUGUAUA